UACGUAGGGUGCAAGCGUUGUCCGGAAUUAUUGGGCGUAAAGAGCUCGUAGGCGGUCUGUCGCGUCGGCUGUGAAAUCUCGGGGCUCAACCCCGAGCCUGCAGUCGAUACGGGCAGACUAGAGUGCUGUAGGGGAGACUGAAAUUCCUGGUGUAGCGGUGAAAUGCGCAGAUAUCAGGAGGAACACCGGUGGCGAAGGCGGGUCUCUGGGCAGUAACUGACACUGAGGCGCGACAGCGUGGGGAGCAAACAGG
rnacentral:rRNA from 1 species